rnacentral:rRNA from 1 species
GACGAACGCUGGCGGCGUGCCUAAUACAUGCAAGUAGAACGCUGAAGAGAGGAGCUUGCUCUUCUUGGAUGAGUUGCGAACGGGUGAGUAACGCGUAGGUAACCUGCCUUGUAGCGGGGGAUAACUAUUGGAAACGAUAGCUAAUACCGCAUAACAAUGGAUGACACAUGUCAUUUAUUUGAAAGGGGCAAUUGCUCCACUACAAGAUGGACCUGCGUUGUAUUAGCUAGUAGGUGAGGGAAUGGCUCACCUAGGCGACGAUACAUAGCCGACCUGAGAGGGUGAUCGGCCACCCUGGGACUGAGACACGGCCCAGACUCCUACGGGAGGCAGCAGUAGGGAAUCUUCGGCAAUGGGGGCAACCCUGACCGAGCAACGCCGCGUGAGUGAAGAAGGUUUUCGGAUCGUAAAGCUCUGUUGUAAGUCAAGAACGGGUGUGAGAGUGGAAAGUUCACACUGUGACGGUAGCUUACCAGAAAGGGACGGCUAACUACGUG